UUAUUAAAGAUUCAUCGGUAACCGAUGGGGAUGCGUUCCAUUAGGCAGUGGGCGGGGUAACGGCCCACCAAACCGACGAUGGAUAGGGGUUCUGAGAGGAAGGUCCCCCACAUUGGAACUGAGACACGGUCCAAACUCCUACGGGAGGCAGCAGUGAGGAAUAUUGGUCAAUGGGCGAGAGCCUGAACCAGCCAAGUAGCGUGAAGGAUGACUGCCCUAUGGGUUGUAAACUUCUUUUAUACGGGAAUAACAAGCGGCACGUGUGCCGUUCUGCAUGUACCGUAUGAAUAAGCAUCGGCUAACUCCGUGCCAGCAGCCGCGGUAAUACGGAGGAUGCGAGCGUUAUCCGGAUUUAUUGGGUUUAAAGGGAGCGCAGACGGGUCUUUAAGUCAGUUGUGAAAGUUUGCGGCUCAACCGUAAAAUUGCAGUUGAUACUGGAGACCUUGAGUGCGGUAUAGGCAGGCGGAAUUGGUGGUGUAGCGGUGAAAUGCUUAGAUAUCACGAAGAACUCCGAUGG
rnacentral:rRNA from 1 species